GACGAACGCUGGCGGCGUGCCUAAUACAUGCAAGUAGAACGCAGUUGCGAACGGGUGAGUAACGCGUAGGUAAUUGCCUUAUAGCGGGGGAUAACUAUUGGAAACGUUAGCUAACACCGCAUACUGUGAGAUGGAUCUGCGUUUUAUUAGCUAGUUGGUGAGGUAAAGGCGCACCAAGGCGACGAUCCAUAGCCGACCUGAGAGGGUGAUCAGCCACACUGGGACUGAGACACGGCCCAGACUCCUACGGGAGGCAGCAGUAGGGAAUAUUCGGCAAUGGGCGGAAGUCUGACCGAGCAACGCCGCGUGAGUGAAGAAGGCCUUCGGGUUGUAAAGUACUUUAAGCGGGGAGCGUUACCCGCAGAAGAAGCACCGGCUAACUCCGUGCCAGCAGCCGCGGUAAUUC
rnacentral:rRNA from 1 species